rnacentral:lncRNA from 1 species
CAGGGAAUUGUAACGCUGCGAGGAAGGAAUUGUAAGACCUCUCAUCACCCUGAACAAACUAUGCUUUCCUGAAUUCUUUGAAGGAAGGCACGGCUGUUUAAAGUACUAUGAUAUUGUUUCAAAUGUAAGGUACAGAAAGGGCCCGAGUCUGGUCCAAAACUAAAGAGCCACAGGAAAACAAAGCAAGAGGGGUCAUGCGAUGCUCAUCAACUGCAGCUGGCAAGCAGGUUGCUGCCUUCCCCAACAAGGUGAGUUGUACUUUAUUUCUAUUUUACUAGCAGCAGUUGUUUCUAAAUCUAAAUUUAUACAUAUAAAUCAGCACAUGCAAAUUUUAAACAAAUAUUUACCCUUGUCCCCCAUUUUGUUGAUACAUUUCCUCUCUCUCUCUCUCUCUCUCUCUCUCUCUCUGGGUGGACUGCUAUUGCUUUUUUCCCUUUUAUUUAUUUAGAAUUUUUUUAUAUAUUUCCCGUAACAAGAAGUUCUCAAAGCAGUUUACAUAGGAAAAGGUAGAUGAAUAGUGAAGUUGCUCACAGUCUUGUAAGGGUGUGUGUGUGUGUGUGUGUGUGUGUGUGUGUGAGAGAGAGAGAGAGAGAGAGAGAGAGAGACUUUCCCUUCCUUCACCCCCCCAUUUGAUAUUAAAAGUAGAACACCACCCACCCCAUUCUACCGCCAAAGGUCCAUUUAGAAGGCUUCUUUAGUUCGAAACCUUUCAGUGAAAUGAUUCUUAAGAUGGCUUGCACAGGUUGCAAUUGUUUAAUACAACUUCCUAGAUAAAUUGUCACCCAGGGUGUGCUUGUUUAAACCCUCUAAGAGGCAAAUGUAAAACAACUAACAAUGUGUGGAAGGGUGAAUUUCAGCUUCUCUUUCGUUCCAGUAUUCAGUACUUGACAUUUUGCGGAUAUUUUUUAAGUCCACAUGAAAAUUCACCAGCACCUCUGUGCAAAUUUCUCCUGCUAUGCAAUUUUACCUCAGAGCACAUUUUGACAAAGCACAUUUCCCCUGAUAUUUACUUUCCCUAGCAGAAUGCAUUUUUCUAUGUUAUUUCACUGCUAUGUGCAUUUUUAUGCCCACUUCAGCAGAGUAAAUACAUAUUUAUAUAAAUUACUUGCCUGGAGAACUGCAUUUGCAAAAACUGAAGAAGUGCCAAUUUUGAAGGAUGGCUGUACUUCGGUUUAUAUAUUGCUUCAGAAAGUGGAAAUUAGGUCUGUUUGCCUUUCAGUGCAAACCAAAUAAAACAUAUCUCCCAUCCCUAGCAAUAAUAUACAGAUAAAACCGGCAAAUUUUAAAAAUAUGUUAUCUCGGCUCGUAAAUAACUAAAUUAUGUAUCUGGUCAGACCUGCUGAAAUAAAAUAGUAUUUAGCAGGCAGGUAAAACAUUAUAGCAUAGUGAGGGUCCCUUCCAAAUGUUAGUUUCAACGCAUACUGUAGUUUCUCCUGCACUAAAAGAUCAGCUUCCAGUGCAUUAAAUCCACACACAACUCGGCAGGCCCUACAGCUGAUUUCAAAGGCUAGUGUAUGUUUCCCUUUGAUUCUGUAGCCCUAGGGCUACUGGCAAUUGGAGUCAAGUGUCCUUUCUGGCAAGACAAGCUGGGGAAAAAGCACCCUAUAGCUGUUCCUUCUAUAUGGCUGAUGGACAGAGUAUUCCCCUUGCUAUUACAAUGUUCUUGAGACGCAAGGAAGGCAGACUUCCAGGGACCUUUGGGUCAUCUGACUGAUGGAUGGGGCCGGAGUAUUCCCCCCCGCUUCUGCUUUGCAGUCUCAGGGCAACUGGCAGAUGGCUCCCAGUUCUGUACUUCAUUCACUUGACUUAAACGAGGUUUUAAAUCAAUUAAUGUAACCCACGGCAAUCAAAACCUUUUGGGGGCAAUGGCACAUUUGGAAUUUCGAAAAAGUUCUGUGGGCUCUAGUCAGAAAAUGGCUGCCACAGGUGUGUGGCAUAACACAAAAUGGCGGCCAUAUCUAAAAGAGCAAAAAAAAAAGGAUACAGGAUUUUGUGAAAUGGUGCAGGCAUCCCCUCUAUCGAUGGGAAAAAGUGCUUGUAUCAGCCAUUGUCACACUCAUUCACAGAGAGAAGCUCUUUGCACCUCUCCUCUCUUCAGAAAUGAGGGCAGGUGUCCAGCGAAAUAUGGGCAUAUUUAAGGGGGUAUUUUCAAUGCAGAAGAUUGCAGUAAGUGCAAACACAAAGUGAUCCGGAACAGCAAGUAUUCUCUCAUGCACUCUGUAUUUUUGAGGGGGGGCUUUCGUGGGCACCAUAGGAGGUAGCGGGUAUACUGGUGCCCAAAGGCACCACAUUGCUAAUAAUAACAAUAACAAUAACAAUAAUAAUAAAAUAAUUUUAUUUGUACCCCGCCCUCCCCGGCCGGAGCCUGGCUCAGGGCGGCUAACAUCAUAAAACUAACACAGUAUACAAAGAACAUAAGAACAUAAAAACAGGCAAUCAGUUAAAAUACAUCUUGAAAUUAGUUCAGAGCAAAUGAAAAUCUGGACAGAUGGCAGUCCAUGGGUAAAAUUGAGAGUUGUUAAUAUUCUCCAGGGCCAACUGUCACCACUGGUCUUAUUAAGGACCUGUGAGCAGGCUAGGAGGCCUCUUUAAUGCUUGUUCUUAUACAGAAAGAAAAGAAUCAGACUGAACCCCGACCAAAGGCCUGGUGGAACAGCUCCAUCUUGCAGGCCCUGUGGAAAAAUGUCAAAUCCCACAGGGCCCUGGUCUUUCGUGAGAGAGCGUUCCACCAGGCUGGGGGCCACGGCCAACACCUGAUCUAACUGAUAAAUCCAACAAAUAUUGCAGAUUUAUCAAUAACAUAUCCAUAACCACAUAGAAAUAACCUCUGAAGAGCAGGUUUCACAUUAAGCAUUGUCACGAUGUGACUUUAAGGCCAGGCUAUACAGGUGGCAUGGAGGAAGAAUGGACAUGUGCCACCAGCCUUUGAUUUAAUGAUGGGUCAUCUUGAUUUGUAUAUUACAAAUUUACUGCUGAUCCCAGAUUUCCCACCAAAAAAAUGUCAUUUUUGUUUGUAUAACCUGGCCCCUAAAUGAAGCAAUAUUUGACUUUUCUUGGAAAGGCCAGAGUCUAGCCUCACCAUCCAACCCUUUUAUUUACCAUUAUGAUAAUUCUUCAAUUCUUUAUAUUUGCCAAGGUGUCAAAUCAAUGCUACACACCUUUGGCCCAAAAAACAAAGUGCACAAAGAACUGGUUGUUCCUUAAGCAGCAGCAUCACAGGCAACACGGGCCAGCUAUUAAUAUCAUGUCAUAAAAGCAGCAUGUGAGACUUGAACUCCACAUCACAAAGUCCCUAGGGGACAAUUCCUUACCCCAUAUCUUGUACACAGAAUUGGAAUAUUUUUUUAACUGCUUUCCUGAGACGUUGAAGACUGCAAAUAUAAGAUGAGGAGAAAGAAUAGCUAGUCUGUAGCACUGCAUCAUAGCUAAGAGUAUUCUUCUAAAUUUGUAGGUGUCAGACUCCCCUAAAUUCCUAGGUCCAGUAGUUUGUGUGCAUUUAACCAAGUCUUUGAGAGUUAAACUGGAUGCCAAACUCCUAAUUCCUGGAUCCAAUUUCCUGUGUUCAGGAAAUCGCCUGGGGUGAUGGGCCAUUAGGAGAACAUAAGGAAGGCGAUGAGCCAUUAGGAAAGCCAAAGAGAGGGGGCUGUGCACCAGAUGGCAAACUGAGAGUUCGUUAGAAGAAAAAGGCAGAGUGUGAAGUAGUCUGAGAGGUGGCUGGGAUGGGACCUAGAAGGAUAAGGUUGCAGGCUGGUAAAGAUGGCAAGCUGGAAAGAAGGUCAGGAUAUGAUGGUUGAUUUCUUGUGGGAUCUAAGGCUGCAGCUGUGGGAGAAACAAAAUCCCUCCACUGAAGACUCAGGUUGUAUAUAUGUGUAAAUAAACCAUAUAUCACAAAGACACCACAGUCUCCGCUGUGGCUCAUUUCCAAAAGGAAACAUGGACCCUGGGCAAGUGCCUGGAACCCCUGGAAUCUCGUACAGCUUUGAAAUUGGGGUGGUGUGCGACGGUGAACAAAUAUACUCUAGUACUGAAGUAUCUAUGGAGUCUCUGUGAAUACUGGACUCAAAGUUGUUCCAGACACUGUCCUAUGUUUCAAGUUCAAAGCAGAAAGUGGAAUGGAAUGCUCGGUUCACUUCCAGUAUAUUUGGCCUACAGACCAACAAGUGAUGAUAUGGAAGCCUCUUGAAAGGAGGGAUUGCUGCCUGGCUGGAGCCCUGAACUGGAACAUUCCAUGCUGCAAGAUUUGUUGCAAGUCUCUCUUGUCGUGGCUAAUAGCUAUUGAUGGAAGUGACCUCCAUGGAUUUGCC